UCCACCUCAGUAGUGCUAUAUAGAACAUCAAUACCCUUGAGUGCUUCCUCCCUUGACCGUAUUCCCUUACUGGUAGGUCUGCAUCUAUGUAAUGAAACUGUGAUUUUACCGUAUUCCCUUCAGUUCCUUAUAUAUGUGAUUUUAAUUUGUCGUCAUUUUUUUGCUUGUUCUGUUAUAAUUUUGUAGCUAGUUCAUCAUUUUGUACCUAGUUUUGAUAUAUUUUGUCUUCAUUUUGUGGCUACUGUGUUGUUGUGUUUAAAUCCUUUUGCUCUAUAUGUGUAACUAUAAACCUAUUGAGUAAUCAGUAAUCUAUGCUUUGGAUAUUCUUUCAUGAAGCUAUUUUUGGUGUAUGAUGUCCACUUCGAUUUGUUCAGUGUAUUGUGAGAAAAACAUGAUUAUGAUUAGUUUGCUUGCUAUACAACAAUUAUAACAGAUCAAUCUAUGGUUGUGAUAUCUUAUGUACUUACUAUACUUGUUUUUCAUUUUCUUGGACUGUUGUUAUUGCCUUUAACUCUUGAAAAUCAACCUCUGCCUUUAACUCCGUUAUGGUGUUUUCAUCCUUUUGUCCUUAUAAUUUUAUAAAGCACAUGCUAAUUGUCUAACUUGGAUUCACUCUUAUAUGCCUGCUGCUUGGUAGUUUAGUGAGUAGGAAGUUCAUGUUUAAUUAUCUGUAUCAUAAAAUUUCAAAUGACGAGUACAUAUGAGUAUAACAAAAUUUGUUUAGAUGGCAAAUGCCACAAAUGAUGCUGAGAAUGGAAAGUUGUGGCCUUUCUAAGUGGAGAAGCAUUUCAUAGAUGUAUUGGUAGAGGAGGAACUUAGGGGGAAUAUGCCAUAUGGCCAGUUUAAGACAGGACUUUAGACAUCCAUUGUGCGUGAGUUUAACUUAUGCGCAAAUAAAAAUUACAACAAAGAACAACUUAGGCAAAAAUAUCAAAGAUCAAAAGUUUGACACCAAGUCUUCUCCCAGCUUCUCAGACGUAUAGGAAUGGGAUGGGACCCCAUUGCAAAAAAGGUUGUAGGAAGUGAUGAUGCAUGGACUAGUGCAAUUGCGGCCAACCAUCAAUGCAAGGAGUUCCGCAAAAAGGGGUUGUAACACUACGAAUUGUUGGGUAGGCUUUUCAAUGCGAACACAGCCGUGGGCCUCCUACAGAUAUCAUCUAUCCAACUAGCUCCAAACAAUUCCGAAGAGCGAGAGCUGGAUGCAGCCUUCCUAUCAUCGAGGGUACAUGUCAAUGUUGACGUCGAUAGUGUGGAAGACGUGGAGGAGCUGCCCACACCAGGUGAAGGGCAAAGCCGGAGGCGACCUGAAACGCGGGCAGCCGUGUCACGCCCCAAACCCCUAAGGGUCCAAAGCAUGAGGAAGAUGUCUUAAAGUACCUGUAAAUUUUUUUAUUCUUUUCCCUUUUUGACAAUCCAAUCCACAAAAAUUAUAUCAAGUAUUAACAUCAAGAAUUAUCAUAAUAAUUCUAUUGAA